rnacentral:rRNA from 1 species
AAAACACUCUCGGCAACGGUAUCUCGCUCUUGCAUCGAUGAAGAACGUAGCGAACUGCGAUACUUGGUGUGAAUUGCAGAAUCCCGUGAACCAUCGAGUCUUUGAACGCAAGUUGCGCCCAAAGCCAUUAGGCCGAGGGCACGUCUGCCUGGGCGUCACG